GGAAUACAGUGGAAGCUCAUUCUCUUAGUGACCUGGGGACAUUGGCUCGAGAUGAAGCCUGGCAGGAGUGGCAACUCCAGGUGAUUUCUGCACCUUUCCUAUUUCCUGGGAGGUGGGCCAGGCCACAGUGUUAGCGGGAAGGGAAUAGAACAGCCAGCCUAGUUAGAGGGAGUGUCUGGGGAAGGCCUAGGGGUGGGGGAAGAAGCUGUGCAGGACAGGGCUUGCCAGUCAGAAUGAAGUGGGAGGAAGAUGAGGGACACAGAGAAGCAGAGAGAGGCAGAGACACCAUGGCAGUGAGCAGUGAGGGAGACACUGACUUCAGAGCCCCCAGGAACCAGCUGCCCCCAGUUCCACAGUCCAGGACCAAGGAGCCCCGAGAACCCUCUGGUGGCCAAAGAGCUUCAGAGUUACAUGAGGUGGGGUGGCUUUAGGGGCAAGAGGUAGUGGGGGGAUGAAACAUGGGUGUCAGCCUCUGAAGGACAAGGGACAGGUGUGGCUAGGACCUCCUAGGAUUCUGCAUCCAAC
rnacentral:lncRNA from 1 species